UGUAAUUCUGUCUAAACUGAAUGAUUUAUUAAUUUACUUAAAAGACAAAUGAAUAAAAGGUCCAGACGACCUGUAUUCCUGUGGCGUAUUUAAAAUGACGAUUAAGAUGAUAUUCUUUAUCGUAUUUCUUUUCUUAGUGGUCAGUUCUGAUGGUCAGAGAGGUGACUGUCCAAUGGGAUUUUUUCAAGUGAGCAGGACGGCUUGUUAUGAGCACAGCGCAUGCCCUCCUCGAUCAUUUUGUUGGUUCACACCAACAAGAACAUAUGGGAUAUGUUGUCCAUAUUGGUGGUAGUGACAACAAUGGGCAAGCAGACGUCUUUUUGUGUAAAAUGGAGUUUUACAAACACAAAAUAAAGCUUUUAACUUCAA